rnacentral:lncRNA from 1 species
AGCGAGUGUUCCCAACAAACCCGAGGGAUCCUCUGCACGAGGCUUGGUGGCUUGGAAUGAAAACUCAGGCCCAAGAAAUUGAGUACUUCCCCUAGAGUUACAAAGCUGAAUCCGACCCAGACCCCGGGACUCCCCUCUCUGUGCUCCACCCGGAAGCUUCUCCACUGUCCUUGAUUUCCCAUUCUGUCCUCCUGGCUUCCCAGUAAGAUAUGGUUGGAGGAGUGUUACCGGCUUGCCUAUGAUGUAUGAGACCCUAGUUUCCAUUCCUAUCGCCAAGAAAGAGAAGAGACUGGUCCAGAGGACUCGAGGCCCAGUUCUGUAUGUCCAUGGACCUGUCCCUUAGUGCCCAGGGAUGGAAUGGUUGUGAGAAGGUGCAAGAGGAAGCUUCAUUUUAGGUGACCCUGCCUCCAGUACUGGGAAACAAAUCCAGCUGCCUAUGUAUGGCUAGCAUCCAGCCUCAGGACCACCUUUGAUUCUUGAUGUGUCAGUCCAGGGUUCCCAGAACACUCUGUGGUCACCAAAGCCCUCUGUGUCUUCUCUAAGGCUUCAGCAGCUACAGCAUAUGGGAUUCCCCACUGAGCAGGCUGCGGUGGCCUUGGCAGCUACAGGGCGUGUAGAGGGGGCAGUGUCCCUGCUGGUGGAAGGGCUAGUGGAUACCGAGGCCCUAGUGACUGAGGAGAGGAGUGGUCCAGCCCACUGCAAGGACACUGGGGUCUCAUAGUCUAAGAAGAGAGUAGACCUGGCCUGAGUCCUUACCUGGUCUCCUGAGGGCUUGGUGGGGUCUUGAAAGCAUCCUGGGGCAGGAGCAGGCCCCACCAUGUUCCCCUGGUACUUUGUAAGAAUAAAAGCUGGUGUGCUUUUC